GUCUACGGCCAUGCCACCCUGAACAAGCCCUGUGUCUGACCUCGGAAACUAAGCAGGGUCAGGCCUGGUUAGUACUUAGAUGGGAGACCACCUAGGAAGACCAGGUGUUGUAGGCA
rnacentral:rRNA from 1 species